AGUGAACGCUGGCGGUAGGCCUAACACAUGCAAGUCGAACGGCAGCACAGUAAGAGCUUGCUCUUACGGGUUGCGAGUGGCGGACGGGUGAGGAAUACAUCGGAAUCUACUUUUUCGGGGGGGAUAACGUAGGUAAACUUACGCUAAUACCGCAUACGACCUACGGGUGAAAGCAGUGGAUCUUCGGACCUUGCGCGAUUGAAUGAGCCGAUGUCGGAUUAGCUAGUUGGCGGGGUAAAGGCCCACCAAGUCGACGAUCCGUAGCUGGUCUGAGAGGAUGAUCAGCCACACUGGAACUGAGACACGGUCCAGACUCCUACGGGAGGCAGCAGUGGGGAAUAUUGGACAAUGGGCGGAAGCAUGAUCCAGCCAUACCGCGUGGGUGAAGAAGGCCUUCGGGUUGUAAAGACCUUUUGUUGGGAAAGAAAAGCAGCAGGUUAAUACCCCGCUGUUCUGACGGUACCCAAAGAAUAAGCACCGGCUAACUUCGUG
rnacentral:rRNA from 1 species